rnacentral:lncRNA from 1 species
CCCACACCAGACCACAAAACCCUAGCCGCCUGCCCUCGCCGGAGAAGACGAACCAGAAGCCGGCCGCCGCUACCCGCCGCCGCACCGGAGGGAUUUCUGACCGCCGAUCGAGGUAAAUUUCAUACCCCCGACUAGUUUUUCCACGAUGAUUUCCCCUUUGGUCAAAUUGGAGCCAAAAUCCCGGCCAAACGGCCGAAAAACACGGCUGAAACCCAGCGGCGCCGCCGCGCCCCUCCUCGGUUUUUACCUCCGAUGAGGCCCUUCCCGGCCUCCGUUUAAUGCAAUUUUUAUAUCAC